CCGGCACGGGUGAGUAACACGUAUCCAACCUGCCGUCUACUCUUGGACAGCCUUCUGAAAGGAAGAUUAAUACAAGAUGGCAUCAUGAGUCCACAUGUUCACAUGAUUAAAGGUAUUCCGGUAGACGAUGGGGAUGCGUUCCAUUAGAUAGUAGGCGGGGUAACGGCCCACCUAGUCUUCGAUGGAUAGGGGUUCUGAGAGGAAGGUCCCCCACAUUGGAACUGAGACACGGUCCAA
rnacentral:rRNA from 1 species